rnacentral:sRNA from 1 species
GCCAGGUGUGGUGGCGUAUGCCUGUAAUCCCAGCAGCUCAGAGGCUGAGGCAGGAAGAUUUCGAGUUCAAAGCCAUCCUCAGCCACAGCGAGGCACGAAGCAACCCAAGUGAGACCCUGUCUCUA